rnacentral:rRNA from 1 species
GAUGAACGCUGGCGGCGUGCCUAAUAAAUGCAAGUCGAGCGAACAGACGAGGAGCUUGCUCCUCUGACGUUAGCGGCGGACGGGUGAGUAACACGUGGAUAACCUACCUAUAAGACUGGGAUAACUUCGGGAAACCGGAGCUAAUACCGGAUAAUAUAUUGAACCGCAUGGUUCAAUAGGGAAAGACGGUUUUGCUGUCACUUAUAGAAGGAUCCGCGCCGCAUUAGCUAGUUGGUAAGGUAACGGCUUACCAAGGCAACGAUGCGUAGCCGACCUGAGAGGGUGAUCGGCCACACUGGAACUGAGACACGGUCCAGACUCCUACGGGAGGCAGCAGUAGGGAAUCUUCCGCAAUGGGCGAAAGCCUGACGGAGCAACGCCGCGUGAGUGAUGAAGGUCUUCGGAUCGUAAAACUCUGUUAUUAGGGAAGAACAAAUGUGUAAGUAACUAUGCACGUCUUGACGGUACCUAAUCAGAAAGCCACGGCUAACUACGUG